ensembl:lncRNA
AACUCGCAGAUGUACAUUGAGGCAGUGCCUGUGUCUGUGGGCAUUAUUAUUAAGAGGUGGUGCAGUCGAUAAAACCAGUCAGGUGAGCCCACCGCACGGCGAGCCAUUCAAACUUAAAGGCAUAUUUUUCCAACAAGAGUGUUGAGCUGUGCUGUAGGAUUUGUGAAUUGCUGACAAGACAAUUGGGUCUGAGUCAUUGAAACUGCCACCAGGGAAUCUGUGAAAAGGUGAUGUGGACAGUCACCUGCGAAGGGUUGUAGCUAUAAAGCAGUGACAUGUAGGCAGUGUGUCUGUUUUCACAAGCCUUCCUCUCCUAGCCAUUACCCGACACCUACACAGACUUUUAUGGCAGAGGAAGCCCCACUUCUCCUUAAAUUCUAAAAUUGUGAAUGUGAACCAGAAAUGUGCAUCGGAGCUACUGAAGACUGAGCUAUCUGCCCUGAGUGAGCUAUCUGCCCUGGGUGAGGUAUCUGCCCUGGGUGAGGUAUCUGCCCUGGGUGAGCUAUCUGCCCUGGGUGAGGUAUCUGCCCUGGGUGAGGUAUCUGCCCUGGGUGAGGUAUCUGCCCUGGGUGAGCUAUCUGCCCUGGGUGAGCUAUCUGCCCUGAGUGAGGUAUCUGCCCUGGGCGAGCUAAAGUGCCGCUCUCAGAGAGGGGGGACGGCGGGGGGGUGCAGCU